rnacentral:rRNA from 1 species
UAACGGCGAGUGAACCGGGAAGAGCUCAAAUUUGAAAUCUGGCGUCCUCAGGGCGUCCGAGUUGUAAUCUAUAGAGGCGUUUUCCGUGCCGGACCGUGUCCAAGUUCCUUGGAACAGGAUAUCAAAGAGGGUGACAAUCCCGUACUUGACACGACGACCGGUGCUCUGUGAUACGUCUUCUACGAGUCGAGUUGUUUGGGAAUGCAGCUCAAAAUGGGUGGUGAGUUCCAUCUAAAGCUAAAUAUUGGCGAGAGACCGAUAGCGAACAAGUACCGUGAGGGAAAGAUGAAAAGCACUUUGGAAAGAGAGUUAAACAGUACGUGAAAUUGUUGAAAGGGAAACGAUUGAAGUCAGUCGUGACCGAGAGGCUCAGCCGGUUCUGCCGGUGUAUUCCCCUCGGUCGGGUCAACAUCAGUUUUGUCCGGUGGAUAAGGGCGGUAGGAAGGUGGCACCCUCGGGUGUGUUAUAGCCUGCCGUCGCAUACAUCGGGUGAGACUGAGGAACGCAGCUCGCCUUUAUGGCCGGGGUUCGCCCACGUCCGAGCUUAGGAUGUUGACAUAAUGGCUUUAA